GCUAGGACCAGAACGAUCGACUCCUGAGAAAGCCCCAAGGUCCUGUACCAGUGCCCAUCCUGCAAAUUUACAGCCUUCCCAUUAAUCAACUAAUUCAAUGCAUGCAUAGAAGCUAUGAAAUCCGAGGAAGAAACAGAGAGAUUGAGGGAGAAGAGAACAAUAAAAAGGUAAUUUACCUGUCCAGCAACAGCCAAGCCAUCUGAGAGAAGGGAUGAUGUCAACCAGACCUGCAAGCAAGUCUGGAAUGCAGCCAUAGGCGUUGGACCCAACCGUGCUGCCAAUGAGGCUGCCAACGUCACACAGAAUGUCACAGCUACAACUCUUGCUAAUAGCAGACCACCUGCGUCCACGAAAAUAUAUGAACAGAUUAUUAUUCAUUCU